GCAGGCGCAGUUGCUGCGGCUCCUGAAAUCCUCCGGUGUGAACUCCCAGGGCUGUUGAUGCUUCAUCUACUCUUCUGGCAGUGGGGGCCUGGACCUUAGUUACCCGGGGAGCGUGAGUCAUGUUGCACAGUUGAGCUGGCACAUAAAACUGCGAGUCACACCAGAAGAGGGCAUUGGAUCCCACUAUAGACUGUUGUGAGCCACCUUGUAGUUGCUGGGAAUUGAACUCAGAAACUCUGGAAGAGCAGUUGAUGCUCUUAACUGCUGAGUCAUCUCUCCAGCCCCAGAACAAGGAAUUGGAGCUUGGAGAAGAUUGAUGGACCACUCAAGUUCCCUGGAUGGUCCAGGAUUCAGACUGAGGAUGGCCUAAAACGUUAGUUUUGCUGGCUCCCUGUGCUUGGCUAACCUUAGAGCCUCUUACCUUACCAUAGUCUUUUCUAUGAAGGACAGAGAUCCAAGGAGUGGAUCAACAUGCCUGAG
rnacentral:lncRNA from 1 species